CAAUGGCGUAUAUUAAAGUUGUUGCAGUUAAAAAGCUCGUAGUUGGAUUUGUGGCGUACGGUGUGUUCCGGGCACUUGUUGUCUGAGUAACCUGCUGUUGCCAUCCUUGGGUGGAACCUGUGUGGCAUUAGGUUGUCGUGCAGGGGAUGCCCAUCAUUUACUGUGAAAAAAUUAGAGUGUUCAAAGCAGGCUUAUGCCGUUGAAUAUAUUAGCAUGGAAUAAUGAGAUAGGACUUUUUUGCUAUUUUGUUGGUUUGCGCAAGAAGGUAAUGAUUAAUAGGGACAGUUGGGGGUAUUCGUAUUCCAUUGUCAGAGGUGAAAUUCUUGGAUUUUUGGAAGACGAACUACUGCGAAAGCAUUUACCAAGGAUGUUUUCAUUAA
rnacentral:rRNA from 1 species